rnacentral:rRNA from 1 species
UACGGAGGGUGCGAGCGUUGUCCGGAAUCACUGGGCGUAAAGGGCUCGUAGGCGGCCAACUAAGUCGGACGUGAAAUCCCUCGGCUCAACCGGGGAACUGCGUCCGAUACUGGAUGGCUUGAGUUCGGGAGAGGGAUGCGGAAUUCCAGGUGUAGCGGUGAAAUGCGUAGAUAUCUGGAGGAACACCGGUGGCGAAGGCGGCAUCCUGGACCGACACUGACGCUGAGGAGCGAAAGCCAGGGGAGCAAACGGG